rnacentral:tRNA from 1 species
GGGCCCUUAGCUCAGCUGGCUAGAGCGUACGACUGAUAAUCGUAAGGUCGGUGGUUCGAGCCCACUAGGGCCCACCA